GACCUCGGAUCAGGUAGGGAUACCCGCUGAACUUAAGCAUAUCAAUAAGCGGAGGAAAAGAAACCAACAGGGAUUGCCUCAGUAACGGCGAGUGAAGCGGCAACAGCUCAAAUUUGAAAUCUGGCCUUCGGGUCCGAGUUGUAAUUUGCAGAGGAUGCUUCGAGCAUGGUCUAGUCUAAGUUCCUUGGAAUAGGACGUCAUAGAGGGUGAGAAUCCCGUAUGCGACUGGGUGCCUAAGCUCAUGUGAAGCUCCUUCGACGAGUCGAGUUGUUUGAGAAUGCAGCUCAAAAUGGGUGGUAAAUUUCAUCUAAAGCUAAAUAUUGGCCAGAGACCGAUAGCGCACAAGUAGAGUGAUCGAAAGAUGAAAAGCACUUUGGAAAGAGAGUUAAAUAGCACGUGAAAUUGUUGAAAGGGAAGCGC
rnacentral:rRNA from 1 species